AGUGAACGCUGGCGGUAGGCCUAACACAUGCAAGUCGAACGGCAGCACAGUAAGAGCUUGCUCUUACGGGUGGCGAGUGGCGGACGGGUGAGGAAUACAUCGGAAUCUACUUUUUCGUGGGGGAUAACGUAGGGAAACUUACGCUAAUACCGCAUACGACCUACGGGUGAAAGCAGGGGAUCUUCGGACCUUGCGCGAUUGAAUGAGCCGAUGUCGGAUUAGCUAGUUGGCGGGGUAAAGGCCCACCAAGGCGACGAUCCGUAGCUGGUCCGAGAGGAUGAUCAGCCACACUGGAACUGAGACACGGUCCAGACUCCUACGGGAGGCAGCAGUGGGGAAUAGUGGACAAUGGGCGCAAGCCUGAUCCAGCCAUACCGCGUGGGUGAAGAAGGCCUUCGGGUUGUAAAGCCCUUUUGUUGGGAAAGAAAAGCAGCAGGUUAAUACCCCGCUGUUCUGACGGUACCCAAAGAAUAAGCACCGGCUAACUUCGUG
rnacentral:rRNA from 1 species